rnacentral:lncRNA from 1 species
CUCAUAGUGGUUCCCUCUAUGUGAUGAGCCUCUUUUCUCUUCCUUUCAAAAUUCUCUUUGAUUUCUAACAGUUUGAUCAUAAUGUGUCAUAGUGAAGUUUUAUUUGGGUUGAGCCUGAUCAGAGACCUUUCGGAUUCAUGUACCUGGCUGUUCAUCUCUCUCUCCACAUUUGGGAAGUUUUCAUGCAAAGAUGAUGUCUCAUAAACCCCACAGGCUUCUUAUAUCACUCUCUUUUUUCCCCUGUCCUCUGAUUGAUUUUCAAGUAACCAGCCCUUGAAUUCACAGGUGCUCUAUUCUGCUUAAGUAUGCUGUCGUACUAUCCUUCACUUUUUUCAUUGCAUUCAUUGUGUGCUAAACCCGCAGGAUUUCUGUUUGGUACAUUUUUAUAGUUUCUCUCUACUUUUCUGUUUGUUCUUGUAUUGUUUUUCAGAUUUGUUGUCUAUAUGUGUUCUUUAAGGAAACUCACUGAGCUUUCUUAAAAUUAUUAUCUUAAAUUCUUUGUCAGACAAUUUGUCGAUCUCUAUAUCUUUGGGUUGAUUACUUCGGUAGUGUCUUUUCCCUUGAGUCUUCGUGUUCCUUAAGUCUGUUUCUUCACUUUUUUUUUAUGUAGUUGUAGAUGGACACAGUACCUUUUUUUAUUUAUUUUUAUGUGAUGCUGAGGAUCAAACCCAGUGCCUCACAUGUGCAAGGCAAGUGCUCUACCACUGAGCCACAACUUCAGCCCCAUGUUGUCUUCACUUUUGAAGAAAUUAUCACCUCCUCCACUGGUUUUGGGAGAGAAUCACCUUCACCAAACCACCCAGCUAUGUCCUCUGACCUUUCUCAGAACUUUUCUAAUGCUCACUCUAUUACCUCUAGUUCCUUCUUGAAAAAAGUGAAAAGAUUAAGAUUGUAUGCCUUCUCUCCACCCCACAAAUCCAGGUCAGGUGCUGAGAACUUCCUUUUUGUUUUAACUAGGGCAAUGCCCUGAAAUGCUCAAGUCUGUGUGCUUGCUACGGAUACUGCAGCUUGAACCAGUCAUCUGUAUGAGAUACUUUCACUUGCUAUCUGCCCAGGAAAGCUCAAGAAGACAGCAUGGGGGAGCAGAACAUUUGGUUUGCCCAGGGACCCAUUUGGUGCCACAGGCAAGUAAUCUCAAGUGUCUCAUGGUCAGGAUUCCUGAUGGGGUCCAUAGAAUGUUUACUAGAGUCGAUGGCCUCUCUUUCAUGCUCCCAUCUUCUCCCAACCAUUCACUUGUGAUGAUCACCUUAGUGGUCUGAGUGGAACAAGAAGUGGACCUUUCAGACAGCAUAUCACACAGCCAGG